rnacentral:rRNA from 1 species
ACUUAAGUUGUUGCAGUUAAAAAGCUCGUAGUUGGAUCUCGGGGCAGUGCUGAUCUGGUCCGCCUGGAUGGUGAGUACUGGUCGGCCUGUCCUUCCUUACUAGUAACUCGGCUCUGUCCUUAAGUGGGUGGGGUUUCAGCGGGGUUUCGGCUCUGUGGGGUUCUAGUUCAUUUACUUUGAAAAAAUCAGAGUGUUCAAAGCAGGCGUUUGCCGUGAAUACAUUAGCAUGGGAUAAUGGAAUAAGACCUUGUUCUUAUUUUGUUGGUUUCUAAGGACAUCGUAAUGAUUAAUAGGGACAGUUGGGGGCAUUAAUAUUUAAUUGUCAGAGGUGAAAUUCUUGGAUUUAUGAAAGAUUAACUUCUGCGAAAGCAUUUGUCAAGGAUGUUUUCAUUAAUCAAGAACGAAAGUUAGGGGAUCGAAGACGAUCAGAUACCGUCGUAGUCUUAACCAUAAACUAUGCCGACCAGGGAUUGGAUGACGUUACAUGGAUGACUCCUCCAGCACCUUGCGAGAAAUCACAAGUUUUUGGGUUCCGGGGGGAGUAUGGUCGCAAGGCUGAAACUUAAAGGAAUUGACGGAAGGGCACCACCAGGAGUGGAGCCUGCGGCUUAAUUUGACCCAACACGGGAAAACUUACCAGGUCCAGACAUAGGAAGGAUUGACAGAUUGAGAGCUCUUUCUUGAUUCUAUGGUUGGUGGUGCAUGGCCGUUCUUAGUUGGUGGAGUGAUUUGUCUGGUUAAUUCCGUUAACGAACGAGACCUUAACCUGCUAAAUAGUUAUGGGAACGCUUCGUUGCUCCGGCGGCGAUGAGUUUCUAGAUACACUUCUUAGAGGGACUAUUCGUUUCCAGCGAAUGGAAGUUUGAGGCAAUAACAGGUCUGUGAUGCCCUUAGAUGUUCUGGGCCGCACGCGCGCUACACUGAUACGUUCAACGAGUUCCACACCUUGCCCGAUGGGGUUGGGUAAUCUUUUGAAAUCGUAUCGUGCUGGGGAUAGGAGAUUGCAAUUAUUCUCCUUCAACGAGGAAUUCCUAGUAAGCGUGAGUCAUUAGCUCGCGUUGAUUACGUCCCUGCCCUUUGUACACACCGCCCGUCGCUACUACCGAUUGGACGAACUGGUGAAAUGCUCGGAUCGAGACCGCACGCUUCUGGUUCGCCGGGGGUUUGGUUUUGAGAAGUUCAGUAAACCUAUUCAUCUAGAGGAAGUAAAAGUC